UACAGAGGGUGCGAGCGUUGUCCGGAAUCACUGGGCGUAGAGGGCGCGUAGGUGGCGACCCAAGUCGAUGGUGAAAGCUCGCCGCUCAACGGCGAGUCGGCCACCGAUACUGGGUUGCUGGAGCACUGUAGAGGCUCAUGGAAUUCCGGGUGUAGCGGUGGAAUGCGUAGAGAUCCGGAAGAACACCGGUGGCGAAGGCGGUGAGCUGGGCAGUUGCUGACACUGAGGCGCGACAGCGUGGGGAGCAAACAGG
rnacentral:rRNA from 1 species